AAAUUAAAGUAUUAUUAAAACAAAAAAUAACAAAAUAAUGUCUAAUUUUACUGAACAAGAUUAGAUGGUAGGACGAGUUUGGUCGAUAGUAAUACAAGACGGUAUACCACAGAUAAAAUCCAUUAGAUAUGUCUAAUUUCCCUGAAUAGGAUUAGAUGGUAUGACGGGUUUGGAUCUAUAGUAAUACCAGACGAUAUACUACGGGUGAAAUCCUAGAUAUAACAGUUAAAAUACAAUUACAUUAUCUUAAAUACUA
rnacentral:sRNA from 1 species